CAGUCGCCGCGGUAAUGCGUAGGUGGCAAGCGUUGCCCGGAAUUAUUGGGCGUAAAGGGUUCGCAGGCGGUUUCUUAAGUCUGAUGUGAAAGCCCCCGGCUCAACCGGGGAGGGUCAUUGGAAACUGGGAAACUUGAGUGCAGAAGAGGAGAGUGGAAUUCCACGUGUAGCGGUGAAAUGCGUAGAGAUGUGGAGGAACACCAGUGGCGAAGGCGACUCUCUGGUCUGUAACUGACGCUGAGGAGCGAAAGCGUGGGGAGCGAACAGGAUUAGAUACCCCCGUAGUCCCUGUCUCUUAUAC
rnacentral:rRNA from 1 species